GCUACCAAGUCUGGCCGCUGGGCUACCAAGUGUGGCUACCAAGUGUGGGGACUGGGCUACCAAUGGUGGCUACCGAGUGUGGGGACUGGGCUACCAAGUGUGGCUACCAAGUGUGGCCA
rnacentral:lncRNA from 1 species